rnacentral:rRNA from 1 species
GGGCCCGCACAAGCGGUGGAGCAUGUGGUUUAAUUCGAUGAUACGCGAGGAACCUUACCAGGGCUUAAAUGUAAGUUGCAUAAGUUAGAGAUAGCUUUUUCUUCGGACUACUUACAAGGUGCUGCAUGGUUGUCGUCAGCUCGUGCCGUGAGGUGUCAGGUUAAGUCCUAUAACGAGCGCAACCCCUGUUGUUAGUUGCCAUCGAGUAAUGUCGGGAACUCUAACAAGACUGCCGGUGCAAACCGUGAGGAAGGUGGGGAUGACGUCAAAUCAUCACGGCCCUUACGUCCUGGGCUACACACGUGCUACAAUGGCCGGUACAGAGAGCAGCCACUACGCGAGUAGGAGCGAAUCUCUUAAAGCGUCUCUCAGUCCGGAUUGGAGUCUGCAACUCGACUCCAUGAAGUCGGAAUCGCUAGUAAUCG